AUGGCAUCACCAGAAACCAAGAAGAUGGUAAGGCCUGGAGGUGGCAGAGCUGAAGAGAGUACAUGACCCAGCAGAAGAAAUAAGCACAAAUACAAAUGGUGACAGAAAAAUAAGAUGUGUCACAACUGACUUAGAUUCCAACAACCACAACAGCACAGAGGAGGAAGCGAGGUGGUGCUCCCUGGAAUGACCCAAACACAACAAUAUCUGAGCUUGCUCUUGAAGGACUAGCAGUUUACCAAGCAAAAUGGAAAACAGAAAUUGAGUCCAGGUCUAGAUAUCAAGAAGCACAAAGAGAUCCAGAAAAGACCAUGGAGAAUUCAAAGACCAGCAACAGGCUUCAAAAGCCUUCUAUGAAUAGGGCAUGCAUGGACCCUUCUCCUCUCACCCCCCAGCACAUAUGAAGGGGUAUGGACAGUGUUGGAACAAGAUGGUCUUGGAUUCAGAAAUAAAAGGAGUCAGAAGCUGAAGACCUAAGGGUAACACAAGACUUCCGGGUUCUGGCCGGGCGCGGUGGCUCACGCCUGUAAUCCCAGCACUUUGGGAGGCCGAGGCGGGCGGAUCACGAGGUCAGGAGAUCGAGACCAUCCCGGCUAAAACGGCGAAACCCCGUCUCUACUAAAAAUACAAAAAAUUAGCCGGGCGUAGUGGCGGGCGCCUGUAGUCCCAGCUACUUGGGAGGCUGAGGCAGGAGAAUGGCGUGAACCCGGGAGGCGGAGCUUGCAGUGAGCCGAGAUCCCGCCACUGCACUCCAGCCUGGGCGACAGAGCGAGACUCCGUCUCAAAAAAAAAAAAAAAAGACUUCCGGGUUCUGAAAGCAGUGCAGCUUGGAAUUUUCAGAAAGUGAAUUGACUUCCUGUAGCUGAUUGUUUUUUAUUUUAGGAAAAUAAAAAUUAUUACUUUUUGUUUAAAUGACAAAA
ensembl:lncRNA LINC00824 long intergenic non-protein coding RNA 824